rnacentral:rRNA from 1 species
CCUACGGGUGGCAGCAGUGGGGAAUCUUGGGCAAUGGGCGAAAGCCUGACCCAGCCAUGCCGCGUGUGCGAAGAAGGCCUUCGGGUUGUAAAGCACUUUCAGUGGUAAAGAAAAGCCAGGAGCUAAUACCCCCUGGUCUUGACGUUAGCCACAGAAGAAGCACCGGCUAACUCCGUGCCAGCAGCCGCGGUAAUACGGAGGGUGCAAACGUUAAUCGGAAUUACUGGGCGUAAAGCGCGCGUAGGCGGUUCGGUAAGUGGGAUGUGAAAGCCCUGGGCUUAACCUGGGAACUGCAUUCCAAACUGCCGGGCUAGAGUAUGGUAGAGGGAGGUAGAAUUUCCUGUGUAGCGGUGAAAUGCGUAGAUAUAGGAAGGAAUACCAGUGGCGAAGGCGGCCUCCUGGACCAAUACUGACGCUGAGGUGCGAAAGCGUGGGGAGCAAACAGGAUUAGAUACCCUAGUAGUC